ensembl:snoRNA SNORA71 Small nucleolar RNA SNORA71
UCCAGCAUUUGAAAGGGAUAGUGGGCUGCCAGCACCCUGGUCAUUGAGACUGCAGGGGGAGGAACUGCUGAAAGCGGUUCCCCAUGUUGGAAGGGCUCACCCUGUCCCAUGGUUGCUUUGACCAA